rnacentral:rRNA from 1 species
UACGAAAAUUCGUCGACACAGAGUUUGAUCCUGGCUCAGCCCAAUUCUUCGACUUGGAAUUUGACCCUGGCUCAACCGAAUUCUAAUACAUCGGAACGUGCCUAGUAGUGGGGGAUAACUACUCGAAAGAGUAGCUAAUACCGCAUGAGAUCUACGGAUGAAAGCAGGGGACCUUUGGGCCUUGUGCUACUAGAGCGGCUGAUGGCAGAUUAGGUAGUUGGUGGGGUAAAGGCUUACCAAGCCUGCGAUCUGUAGCUGGUCUGAGAGGACGACCAGCCACACUGGGACUGAGACACGGCCCAGACUCCUACGGGAGGCAGCAGUGGGGAAUUUUGGACAAUGGGCGAAAGCCUGAUCCAGCAAUGCCGCGUGCAGGAUGAAGGCCCUCGGGUUGUAAACUGCUUUUGUACGGAACGAAAAGCCUGGGGCUAAUAUCCCCGGGUCAUGACGGUACCGUAAGAAUAAGCACCGGCUAACUACGUGCCAGCAGCCGCGGUAAUACGUAGGGUGCAAGCGUUAAUCGGAAUUACUGGGCGUAAAGCGUGCGCAGGCGGUUUUGUAAGACAGUGGUGAAAUCCCCGGGCUCAACCUGGGAACUGCCAUUGUGACUGCAAGGCUAGAGUGCGGCAGAGGGGGAUGGAAUUCCGCGUGUAGCAGUGAAAUGCGUAGAUAUGCGGAGGAACACCGAUGGCGAAGGCAAUCCCCUGGGCCUGCACUGACGCUCAUGCACGAAAGCGUGGGGAGCAAACAGGAUUAGAUACCCUGGUAGUCCACGCCCUAAACGAUGUCAACUGGUUGUUGGGUCUUAACUGACUCAGUAACGAAGCUAACGCGUGAAGUUGACCGCCUGGGGGAGUACGGCCGCAAGGUUGAAAACUCAAAGGAAUUGACGGGGACCCGCACAAGCGGUGGAUGAUGUUGUAUAUUUAGAUAACGCGAAAAACACCUUCCCCUUUUUACACAUCGCGGGAUUUCCCCAGAGAUUUUUGUGCUCGAAAAGAGCCCCUGCACAGAGGUGGUGCAUGGCUGUUGUCAGCUUGUGUCGUGAGAUGGUGGUAAGUCUCGCGAAGAGCGCGCACCCCUCCCCAAUAGUUUACAUUUUCAUGUGAGCUCUAUAAUGGGACCCCCGGACACACCCCGGAGGAAGGGGGGGGAGAUGUCAAGUCCUCGUCCCCUUUAUAUGUGGGUACACACAUCUCACACAAUGUGUGGCAAAAAGGGUUCACACCCCGAGAGGGGGAUAUAAUCCCAUAAACCCAGUUAUACUCCGGAUCGCUGUGUGCAUCUCGUGUGCGUAAAGUGGGAAUCUAGUAUAAUCGAGAUCAAAAUGUCGCGGUGAAUAUGUUCCCUAUCUACUCCCCGCCCCCCCCCUCCCCUAGCGUGUCUCUCCAGAAUAGGAGCCCCCCCCCCAACUUAAUUAUUCCAACAGAACAGUCUGGCCGAAGUCGAUCUCAUCUCGUUACCCUCGUAGCUCCAUUAAAAAA